GUGCUCGCUUUGGCAGCACAUGUACUAAAAUUGGAACGAUCCAAAAAGAUGAGUAUGGCCCCUGUGCAAGGAUGACAUGCAAAUUCGUGAAGUGUUCCAUAUUUUU
rnacentral:snRNA from 1 species